rnacentral:lncRNA from 1 species
UCAAAUGUUUUUUCUUUAUUCAUCAUUGAUCAAACAGUCUUACAAAUACUAAUAAUAAAUACAAUGCUGUGCAUUUUGUUAUGAGCUAUGUUAUUUAUGAUGCUUUUGGGGUUUUUUUUUUGGUAGGAAACAAACAAAUUCAGCAAUGACCCACUAUAUCAUAGUGUCUAUGAAACUUAUGAGUUGGUGGAAAAAUUUUAUGAUCCAACAUUUAAAUAUCACCUUGCUGUGGCCCAGGUUCGAGGAGGGAUGGUGUUUGAAUUGGCCAGUUCCAUGGUGCUCCCUGUCAACUGUCAAGAUUGUGCUGUAGUUUUAAAAAAGUAUGCUGAUAAAAUCUAUAAUAUUUCAAUGAAGUACCCACAGGAAAUGGAAAGAUACAGAGUAUCAUUUGACUCAUUGUUUUCUGCAGUACAUAAUUUUACAGAAAUAGCUUCUAAGUUCAGCAAGAGACUUCAAGACUUAGACAAAAGCAAGUAUGUUCUGUGUUUCUUUAUGUCUAUAACAGAUAUAAUUAAAAGGAAAUACGAAUUGACAUCUCUGUUACCAAAAUGUCCUCAAACAAGUUGUUGCUGUUUUCUGUCUUCCUCUACCCGGACGCACCCUAUAGGAGGUUGCCCUUCUUUCUCUCCAAGACCUGGAUCUAAACUCUGAGUGCUGCCCUGCUACUCAGAGAUGCAGCGCCCCCUCACAGCCAACGGAGGAGUUGCAGCAUCCACAUCUUAGCCAGGACUGUUCUCUGCUCUGUGACCCUGGCUUUUUCCACUUUUAUUUCUUGCUCUUUCACUGUCUGUACAUCACAGCUCACAUAAUCUUAUUCCUAGAGCAUAGCUUUUUCUACCUCUUCUUGAAGUCAUUACUUCCACAUGGAAAUACAGUGGCGCCUCAGUUCACGAACUUAAUUCUUUCCAUGAUUCUGCUCCCAAAUGAGAUUGAAAGAGAACCAAAUCAAAUUUCCCCAUAAGGUCAACAUUGAACCUAACCAUUGGAUUUGAUUUGAUUCUUGUCAAAUUCGGUUUGUGACCAGAAUGGUGGAAAGACUGAAGUUCGUGAACCUAGAUACCACUGUACUGUCCUCAUUUCUGCCCCCACCUGGCAAAAUUUGACUUAUCCAGAAUAGUAAAUAUUGUGAAGCCAUUGACUUUGGAAGUUAAACAUUUAGGAUUGAUUCUGUAUAAGAUCAUAAAUAUAAACUAUAAUUUGAGCAUAAUUUUAAAGGUACAAAGGCAACACUAAGGAAAAUGUGGCAAUACUAAGGAGAUGUCAGUCUGGUACAAGCUGCUACAAGAUCUGUGAUUGCUAUGGUAACCAUAAAAGCCCAGAUCCCCCAAGACUUCCCAAGGCUUCCACUGGCAGCCAGUUAGAGCUCUGCCAGGCAUGGUUUGUCAGGGUGAGGGUUGUGACCUGCGAUCCAGCCAGGUCUGUGUCCAGCGGAACUCCACUCUUGAUGGCUCUUCCAGGGCAGCAGAGGCUGUAGCCCAGCUGUCAGACCUGGAGAGAGCAUGAGGCUCCCACUGGCCCCAGGCAGCUUGGGCUGUCUAAACAGAGAAGUAAAAGUACCUCUGGGGGAAGGUCAGCCCUCCUGUUCUGUCUCUGAGCAUUUACCUCCGUGGUGUAGUUCAAAUUGCACUCUGCUCCAUACAAGGAACAUAGGAGGGUUUUUAAAUGGUAGCCACAGGAUCCAAAGUCCAGCAAGAGAGCCAGAGAGGCAGAGACAGAGAAAUGUGAAGGAGUGAGGGAGAAAAGAGGAUAGGAGGAGGGGAAAAGAGAGAGGGACAGAUGUGUGUGUUUAUGUGUUUGUGCAUUUCUAUGUAGGCGUGUCCAUGAGAAUUCUUGUUAUGUAGCAAUACUUCAGAAAUUUGAUUCAGAAGCCAAUAGCUACUUACUGAAAUUAUCUUCCAUUCAAUUAUCUCUUUGCUUAUAGGAGCUGCUAACAGUCUAUGCCUCUUUCAUACAAUUACCUAAACUGGUAAAUGAUGUUAAAUAACUAACUGUUAAAAAUAGCUUACUUGAGAGGCUGAGCCAGGAGGAGCACUGUGGCAAGGCCACCCUGGAAUACAUAAAGAGACUCUGUCUUGACAGAAAAAGAAAGAAUAUACAUAGCUCAAGUAUAAAUUGUGAGGUCUUUAGUUAUUUCUAUUUUCCUUUUGUCAACAUAGUGCAAUUAAAAGGAGAAUAUGUACUUCAUUUACUCUAAGACCUUAUGUUUGUGACCUUGGGCAAGUUGAUUAACGACACAUUCUUCAUUAUUUAUGAAGUGGAGCUAUCACCCUGUUCAACUUGCAGGAUUGUUC